GACGAACGCUGGCGGCGUGCUUAACACAUGCAAGUCGAACGGAAAGGCCCUGCUUUUGUGGGGUGCUCGAGUGGCGAACGGGUGAGUAACACGUGAGUAACCUGCCCUUGACUUUGGGAUAACUUCAGGAAACUGGGGCUAAUACCGGCUAGGAGCUCCUGCUGCAUGGUGGGGGUUGGAAAGUUUCGGCGGUUGGGGAUGGACUCGCGGCUUAUCAGCUUGUUGGUGGGGUAGUGGCUUACCAAGGCUUUGACGGGUAGCCGGCCUGGGAGGGUGACCGGCCACACUGGGACGGGGAUACGGCCCAGACUACUACGGGAGGCAGAAGUGGGGAAGAGUGCACAAUGGGCGGAAGCCUGAUGCAGCAACGCCGCGUGCGGGAUGACGGCCUUCGGGUUGUAAACCGCUUUCGCCUGUGACGAAGCGUGAGUGACGGUAAUGGGUAAAGAAGCACCGGCUAACUACGUG
rnacentral:rRNA from 1 species